AAGACUAUAGACCUGCGGAGUACCUGCGGAAGGAUCAUUACCGAGUUUUCAACUCCCUAACCCUUCUGCGAACCUACCUAUCGUUGCUUCGGCGGACUCGCCCCAGCCCGGACGCGGACUGGACCAGCGGCCCGCCGGGGACCUCAAACUCUUGUAUUCCAGCAUCUUCUGAAUACGCCGCAAGGCAAAACAAAUGAAUCAAAACUUUUAACAAUGGAUCUCUAGAUCGGAAGAGCACAC
rnacentral:misc_RNA from 1 species